GUCCCCGGCGUCCGGGCGCCCUGCAUGGAUCCCCCACCCCAGCUCCUGCUCCCCGGCGGCGGCCGGUGGGCAGAAAGACCGAAACCCACUCACGGCCGCCUGCCGAAUCGCGGCUCUGCUGUUUGUGGGGCGUGCUAGAAACGUGGUCCUAAAAAGAAUGGCGUCCAUUUACAUAAUGCUUUGUUUGCGUUUCGCAAGUUUCUUUCGGUUAAAGCCACAGAAACCCCACCUCCUGCCCUUGUGUCGUUUCCACCGCGGCACCCUUUUCCGACAUUAGAAACAAUAGUGUACGCCUGUGGAGGCCUCGUUUGUUCAGGGGCUGCCGGCCAGGGCUUCAGGACGUUUCUGCGGCUUUCCCCGCGCGGCCUGGGCUCCCGCGGCUGCUUUUCGGGCCCAUGGGCGCAGCCACUGCGCCAGGCUCAAGGGGGGCGGCCCCGUCAGGGCCCGCCAUCUUGGAAGGCCUUUUUUGCCGGUUCUUCCCGCUGAGGAAGUGUCGCUCAAGACGCUGGCCUAUGAGUUGUGAUUUCUGCCUUUUCCCCUUCCUCCUUGGGCUAAGCCAGACCAGAAAGGGCCCCGUGCGCAACGUGCUUCACAAUCUCUCAGGGAAAGCGGCUAACGUGGCGCUACUCCGCCUCCCCUGUUCCUUACCCUUGGGGCGGCCGCCAUGUUUCCUGAACACAAAAUGGCGACACGUGGUUAGCAUUCGUCGCCAACGAGAAAUUGGGGUCGGCCCGAAAGCUCUAGAAUGCACCCCUCUUCCUCCCCGGGGCCUUCCACCUCCGCGAGUUUUAUGACUUAAAAAAGCCCACAGGCUGGUCUGAAGGUCGGAGGCCUAAUUUUAACGCGUUUUCCUCCCUUUAAUUUGAAACGGGAACGCGAAUGACUGUAAAAUGUGGGCACAAUAUUUAAUCUCUCGCCUUUUUAAAGCUUAAUAGUGGAUAAUAGGGGGGCAGUAUCAAGGGAUAAUUUGGGUCCCCACAGUACCAAAGCAUUUAGAAACCUCUGUUUAAUUUAAGGAAUGAGAUAAGUUACUGCUUUUCUAGACUUCCUAGCAUGGGCUGUUGUGCUGGAGAGAACGAGAGCUACGAAGAGACUACAGUGCCUCUGACUUUUUCAUAGGACAGUUGGCCGAGGAAGACAAACAUAAAGAUGAAGUGCUUAAUUCAAGGUCACACAAUGUCGGGGAUGGACCUCCAGAUUUCCUUACUGGUGAGACGUGGUCUUGUAACACAGUGGUUAAGAAUGUGACUUUGGAGCCAGCCUGCUAGGGGCUGAAUUCUGACUCAGCCAUUUACUAACUGUGUGACCUUAGGCUGGAGUGCAAUGGCAUGAUCUCGGCUCAUCACAACCUCUGCUUCCUGGGUUCAAGCGAUUCUCCUGCCUCAGCCUCCCGAGUACCUGGGACUACAGGCACUCGCCACCAUGCCCGGCUGAUUUUUGUAUUUUUAAUAGAGAUGGUUUCACUAUGUUGGCCAGGCUGGUCUCGAACUCCUGACCUUGUGAUCUGCCCACCUCAGCCUCGAAAAGUGCUGGGAUUACAGGCGUGAGCCACUGCGCCCAGCCUUGUAUUUUUUUUCAGUUUGGGUAGCUGUCCCUAAUUCAUUUGUUAAAGGAGAAGCAAGAGCAAGAACCUUUAAUCUGUUCUCCUCUUCCCUAAUUUGAAAGUAGCUUGUUAUUUUGAAUAUCACUUUCUCUGAAAUAGCACAUCUCCAUCUCAGAGAAUGGAUUUAAUGUUUGGAUACAGCCAAAAGUCAUUUCAUUACCAAACCAUGGGGUGAAUAUACCAUGUAAAGCAGUUUGGGAUCAGAACUCACAGUCUGAAUUGUAAGUGAUGAGACUGCUGUCUCUCUGCUACAGCUUCUUGGCUGGCUCUGAAGGCUCUUUGAAGGCAGAUCCUAACAAGGGGACUGCUUUGAAGGGCCAUUGUUCAUUUGGAAUGAUAAAGUCUAUGUUGUUCAAAAAACAAAUGCUUGUAGCAGGUAUUUUUUCACUCCAGACUGAGAAUAUUGGUGGGAUAUUGAUAAGGGGUACUGAAUGGUAAUAAACAUGUGCUCUAGCUCUGUGCUAGUCAGCUUAUUUCAGAACUCUAGUUUGAUUCAGUUUCUUGCCUCUGACUCAAAAUGGAGGGAGAGUGAUUUUUACAUAAGAGAACACACCCACAUAUCCUUUUGGCAGCAGCUACCUGCCAGAGAUGUUGAAGAAGAGUAGCCAACCUUUACACAGCAGAUAUUGUGUGCCAGUCAUAGUCCUAAGUAUAAUACCUUACAUGUAUAAACUUCUUAUAAGGUUGGUGCUCUGUACCGAAUUGAAUAGUAUCCCCCAAAAUUCAUGUUGUCCCAGAACCUAUGAAAGUGAUCUUACUUGAGGGAGGGGGGAGGGGGGAGGGAUAGCAUUAGGAGAUAUACCUAAUGCUAAAUGACGAGUUAAUGGGUGUAGCACACCAGCAUGGCACAUGUAUACAUAUGUAACUAACCUGCACAUUGUGCACAUGUACCCUAAAACUUAAAGUAUAAUAAUAAUAAAAUAAAAAAAAAAAAGAAAGUGAUCUUACUUGGAAAUAAGGUCUUUGCACAUAUGAUCAAGUUGAGAUGAAGUUGUACUGGAAAGUCUGUCUAGUGACUGGUGUUGUCAUAAGAAGAGAGGGACACAGAGGGAAGAUGGCCACAUGAAGAUGGAGGCAGAGAUUGCAGUUAUGCUGCUGCAAACUAAGGAAUGGCUCUGGCCCUCCAAGGAUUGCUGAUAACCACCAGAAACUAGAAGAGACAAGGAAGGAUUCUUCCCUAGAGCCUUCAGAGGGAGCAUGGCCCUACUGACACCUGGAUUUCAAACUUGUAGCUUCCUAAACUGCAAGAGAAUAAAUUUCUGUUGUUUUAAGCCA
rnacentral:lncRNA from 1 species